UACGUAGGGUGCAACCGUUGUUCGGAAUUACUGGGCGUAAAGGGCGCGUAGGCGGCCUGCUAAGUCGGAUGUGAAAUCCCUCGGCUCAACCGAGGAACUGCAUCCGAUACUGGCGGGCUUGAAUCCGGGAGAGGGAUGUGGAAUUCCAGGUGUAGCGGUGAAAUGCGUAGAUAUCUGGAGGAACACCGGUGGCGAAGGCGGCAUCCUGGACCGGUAUUGACGCUGAGGCGCGAAAGCUAGGGGAGCAAACGGG
rnacentral:rRNA from 1 species